rnacentral:rRNA from 1 species
GGGCUGCUCCUAGUACGAGAGGACCGGAGUGGACGAACCGCUGGUGUUCGGGUUGUGUCGCCAGACGCAUUGCCCGGUAGCUAAGUUCGGAAUCGAUAACCGCUGAAAGCAUCUAAGCGGGAAGCGAGCCUCAAGAUGAGUCAUCCCUAGACCUUUAAGGUCUCUAAAGGGUUGUUGAAGACUACAACGUUGAUAGGUCGGGUGUGUAAGUGCUGUGAGGCAUUGAGCUAACCGAUACUAAUUGCCCGUGAGGCUUAACCAUACAACACCCAAGGGGUUU